rnacentral:rRNA from 1 species
UACGUAGGGUGCAAGCGUUAAUCGGAAUUACUGGGCGUAAAGCGUGCGCAGGCGGUUAUGCAGGACAGCUGUGAAAUCCCCGGGCUCAACCUGGGAACUGCAUUUGUGACUGCAUGGCUAGAGUACGGUAGAGGGGGAUGGAAUUCCGCGUGUAGCAGUGAAAUGCGUAGAUAUGCGGAGGAACACCGAUGGCGAAGGCAAUCCCCUGGACCUGUACUGACGCUCAUGCACGAAAGCGUGGGGAGCAAACAGG